rnacentral:lncRNA from 1 species
UAAUUUACAUUUCUAGAGAACAAGCUCUUUAUGGUACAUAGAAAUAAUCCUGUCAUACAGUGACCAUUCAGAGAGGGAUAAAAACCUUAUAUAUGAAACUUUCACUAAUAACCUGAAACAUCACCACAGAGACAGUUGGGUUAUCCUGUUUGUUUGGACAUCCACUUAUUCACUUGAAAUGCAGGAAAUCUAUUUGAAAAAAACAAAACAAAACAUGAUCAGUUACUUGAUACAAUCAUGAGAUGUGAUCGAGAAAAACUUAUUAAGGAAUUAUUUUGUCAGAGUCAGUCUCUCUCAACAAGAAAAAGAAGAGAAUGUUUUCUGAAAAAUGAAAUUUUGGAUAAAUUUGAAGGGGCGUUAGACUGUGGCAAAGGAAAUGCAUGACAAAUCUUGGGAAUAGAAUAAGGGAAGAAACUUGUUUGCUCGGGCUGCCAUAACAAAAUGCCAUGGACUGUGUGGCUUAAACAACAGAGAUUAAUUUUCUCACAUCUCUGGAGGCUACAAGCUCAAGGUGUUGGCAGGUCUGGUUUCUCCCGAAGCCUCUCUCCCUGGUUUGCAGGUGCAUCCAUGUGGGUGAGUAUGUUUAAAACAAACACCUCAGGAUAUGUGAUAUGCUAAAUGGAAAAGUAAGGAAAACAUACAAGAUUGCCGUGUUUUUCAUCGAGUCACUAGUGCAAUUCCUCAGAUUUCUGACAAGCUGCCUACAUCCCUUGGGAAGGGGAUUUGUAGUGAGGCUACUAUAAAAUUAGUAUUUGAUUGGAGAUGUUUAAAAACUUCAGGAGAGUAUCCAUUUUACACUUGAAAUUUUAUGUCAAGAAAUUUUGCUUCUCCCUGAGGAGCAAAUCUCAAGUGAUAUUUGAAGUCAAGAAAUAGAAACCCACAGAAUGAAUCUUAUUCUACUUUGAGCUUAAUGGUCAAAUUUGAGAUACAUUGAUGUAGGAAAAGGAAUACACAAAAGACUGAGUUGAUAACUUCUGAUAAGAUGGAGCACUUCUCUUUAUUGCUGCCAUGUGAAAAAGGACAUGAUUGUAAGUUUCCUGAGGUCUCCACAUCCAUGCAGAACUAUGGCCUGCUAUAGGUGGACUUUAAUUACUGUCGAUAUAAUAAAAGUUGAAAGUGUCACAUGCAGAAGAUAAUGACACAACACAAAAUAGGCAGCCAAUUUGCACUGAUGAUUAUUAAUUGAUGGUCAGUGGAUUUUGACCGGUAAGGUCAGGUCUCUUGGAUUUUCUUCUUCUUGUUAUUAAAGGGUAAAUUAAAAUUAGAAAAAACUACUAUAAUUUCAUAUGGAAUCAAAGAAGACCCUGUAUAGCCAAGACAAUCCUAAGCAAAAAGAGCAAGGCUGGAGGCAUCACACUACCUGACUUCAAACUAUACUACGAGUCUACAGUAACCAAAACAGCAUGGUACUGGUACAAAAACAGACAUACAGACCAAUGGAACAAAACAGAGACCUCAGAAAUAACACCACACAUCUACAACCAUCUGAACUUUGACAAGCCUGACAAAAGCAAGCAAUGGGGAAAGGAUUCCCUAUCUAAUAAAUAGUGCUGGGAAAAUUGGCUAGCCAUAUACAGAAAACUGAAGCUGGACCCCUUCCUUACAUGUUAUACAAAAAUUAACUCAAGGUGGAUUACAGACUUAAAUGUAAUUGUUAAUAAAUUAAUAAAUAUAUAUUAAUUAAUAUGUCAAAAAAAAAAAAAAA